AUGAUGGCGGAAAAAAUUUCCAGCGACAAAACCAUGAUGGCGGAACUCACUCCAUUUCUGACUGUGUUUGCAGGAACAAAAAGCCCUGCAUUACGAGUUGCACAAAAACAUUGCGCUGCAGCGUCGUGUGACCAUCAGCCAGGCGGAGAAAAUCCAGCACUUUCAGGCGGAGAAUGCGGCUCUGAAGAAACAACUUUCAGAAGCUCAAGGUGCCUCCUCUUCUCUCGCUGCAGCUUCCUCCGAGUUGGAGACUCUUCGUGCUGCACACAAGAAUCUCGAAGCAAAACUCGCAGUGGCAGAACAGAAAAUCUCUGAGAAGAACUCGGAGCUUAUCGGGAAAACUGGUGAGUUUGAGCUGAAAAGACAAACUGACAGCGACAUCAUCCAGAAGCAGCAAAAAGAAAUUGGAGGUCUUCGCAAAUAUAUGGAAACAGCAGAGAGCUGCUGGGACCUGCUCAACUCCGACGUCAUGGAUCCACUCGGAUAUGACGAGGAACGUCGGAGCCAGUUCCCGCGCGAUGACCUGCUUCAGCUGGCCGGAGAAGACUGCAAAGAUCUCAUCUCCGCCUCCAGGAAAAUCUGUCACAACCUCAAC